GUAGCUUGCUACUUUGCUGACGAGCGGCGGACGGGUGAGUAAUGCUUGGGAACAUGCCUUGAGGUGGGGGACAACAGUUGGAAACGACUGCUAAUACCGCAUAAUGUCUACGGACCAAAGGGGGCUUCGGCUCUCGCCUUUAGAUUGGCCCAAGUGGGAUUAGCUAGUUGGUGAGGUAAUGGCUCACCAAGGCGACGAUCCCUAGCUGGUUUGAGAGGAUGAUCAGCCACACUGGGACUGAGACACGGCCCAGACUCCUACGGGAGGCAGCAGUGGGGAAUAUUGCACAAUGGGCGCAAGCCUGAUGCAGCCAUGCCGCGUGUGUGAAGAAGGCCUUCGGGUUGUAAAGCACUUUCAGUCAGGAGGAAAGGUUAGUAGUUAAUACCUGCUAGCUGUGACGUUACUGACAGAAGAAGCACCGGCUAACUCCGUGCCAGCAGCCGCGGUAAUACGGAGGGUGCGAGCGUUAAUCGGAAUUACUGGGCGUAAAGCGUACGCAGGCGGUUUGUUAAGCGAGAUGUGAAAGCCCCGGGCUCAACCUGGGAACUGCAUUUCGAACUGGCAAACUAGAGUGUGAUAGAGGGUGGUAGAAUUUCAGGUGUAGCGGUGAAAUGCGUAGAGAUCUGAAGGAAUACCGAUGGCGAAGGCAGCCACCUGGGUCAACACUGACGCUCAUGUACGAAAGCGUGGGGAGCAAACGGGAUUAGAUACCCCGGUAGUCCACGCCGUAAACGAUGUCUACUAGAAGCUCGGAGCCUCGGUUCUGUUUUUCAAAGCUAACGCAUUAAGUAGACCGCCUGGGGAGUACGGCCGCAAGGUUAAAACUCACAUGAAUUGACGGGGGCCCGCACAAGCGGUGGAGCAUGUGGUUUAAUUCGAUGCAACGCGAAGAACCUUACCUACACUUGACAUACAGAGAACUUACCAGAGAUGGUUUGGUGCCUUCGGGAACUCUGAUACAGGUGCUGCAUGGCUGUCGUCAGCUCAUGUUGUG
rnacentral:rRNA from 1 species